rnacentral:SRP_RNA from 16 species
GGCGAAGGCAAGCCCUCAGGAACAAGUGUCCAUCUGGGUACCAUUUUGGGAGGGCUUUCUAUUCCUGGUUGUGAAAUAAGUGGAAAAUGGUGUAGGC